rnacentral:lncRNA from 1 species
AUGUUUGAAGUUGUUUUUGUUUGUUUACCUCUUCUUCUUCCUCUGCCAGUGUUGAACCACCUCCCUACCACGGUGGUGGCUGUUGUGUUCGGCUGUUUCCUCUUCCUGGUUACCUUGGUGACCACCUGUUGUUUCAGUGGUCUGCUGUUCCGUGAGUGUACACUUUACUUAUUCUCGUCUCUCUCGUCUCUCUCGCUCCUCUCUCUCUUUUCAGUUUGUCUUUCUGUCUCUCUCGUCUCUCUCGCUCCUCUCUCUCUUUUCAGUUUGUCUCUCUCGUCUCUCUCGCUCCUCUCUCUCUUUUCAGUUUGUCUCUCUGUCUCUCUCGUCUCUCUCGCUCCUCUCUCUCUUUUCAGUUUGUCUCUCUCGUCUCUCUCGCUCCUCUCUCUCUUUUCAGUUUGUCUCUCUGUCUCUCUCGUCUCUCUCGCUCCUCUCUCUUUUCAGUUUGUCUCUCUGUCUCUCUCGUCUCUCUCGCUCCUCUCUCUCUUUUCAGUUUGUCUUUCUGUCUCUCUCGUCUCUCUCGCUCCUCUCUCUCUUUUCAGUUUGUCUCUCUGUCUCUCUCGUCUCUCUCGCUCCUCUCUCUCUUUUCAGUUUGUCUCUCUGUCUCUCUCGUCUCUCUCGCUCCUCUCUCUCUUUUCAGUUUGCCUCUCUGUCUCUCUCGUCUCUCUCGCUCCUCUCUCUCUUUUCAGUUUGUCUUUCUGUCUCUCGUCUCUCUCGCUCCUCUCUCUCUUUUCAGUUUGUCUCUCUGUCUCUCUCGUCUCUCUCGCUCCUCUCUCUCUUUUCAGUUUGUCUCUCUGUCUCUCUCGUCUCUCUCGCUCCUCUCUCUCUUUUCAGUUUGUCUCUCUGUCUCUCUCGUCUCUCUCGCUCCUCUCUCUCUUUUCAGUUUGUCUCUCUCGUCUCUCUCGCUCCUCUCUCUCUUUUCAGUUUGUCUCUCUGUCUCUCUCGUCUCUCUCGCUCCUCUCUCUCUUUUCAGUUUGUCUCUCUGUCUCUCUCGUCUCUCUCGCUCCUCUCUCUCUUUUCAGUUUGUCUUUCUGUCUCUCUCGUCUCUCUCGCUCCUCUCUCUCUUUUCAGUUUGUCUCUCUGUCUCUCUCGUCUCUCUCGCUCCUCUCUCUCUUUUCAGUUUGUCUCUCUGUCUCUCUCGUCUCUCUCGCUCCUCUCUCUCUUUUCAGUUUGUCUCUCUGUCUCUCUCGUCUCUCUCGCUCCUCUCUCUCUUUUCAGGUUGUCUCUCUGUCUCUCUCGUCUCUCUCGCUCCUCUCUCUCUUUUCAGUUUGUCUCUCUGUCUCUCUCGUCUCUCUCGCUCCUCUCUCUCUUUUCAGUUUGUCUCUCUGUCUCUCUCGUCUCUCUCGCUCCUCUCUCUCUUUUCAGUUUGUCUCUCUGUCUCUCUCGUCUCUCUCGCUCCUCUCUCUCUUUUCAGUUUGUCUUUCUGUCUCUCUCGUCUCUCUCGCUCCUCUCUCUCUUUUCAGUUUGUCUUUCUGUCUCUCUCGUCUCUCUCGCUCCUCUCUCUCUUUUCAGUUUGUCUCUCUCGUCUCUCUCGCUCCUCUCUCUCUUUUCAGUUUGUCUUUCUGUCUCUCUCGUCUCUCUCGCUCCUCUCUCUCUUUUCAGUUUGUCUCUCUGUCUCUCUCGUCUCUCUCGCUCCUCUCUCUCUUUUCAGUUUGUCUCUCUGUCUCUCUCGUCUCUCUCGCUCCUCUCUCUCUUUUCAGUUUGUCUCUCUGUCUCUCUCGUCUCUCUCGCUCCUCUCUCUCUUUUCAGUUUGUCUCUCUGUCUCUCUCGUCUCUCUCGCUCCUCUCUCUCUUUUCAGUUUGUCUCUCUGUCUCUCUCGCUCCUCUCUCUCUCCUCUCUCUCUUUUCAGUUUGUCUCUCUGUCUCACACUCCUCUCUCUCUUUUCAGUUUGUCUAUCUGUCUCUCUCUUUUCAGUUUGUGUCUCUGUCUCUCUCUUUUCAGUUUGUCUCUCUGUCUCUCUCUCUUUUCAAUUUGUCUCUCUGUCUCUCUCUCUUUUCAGUUUGUGUCUCUGUCUCUCUCUUUUCAGUUUGUCUCUCUGUCUCUCUCUCUUUUCAAUUUGUCUCUCUGUCUCUCUCUCUUUUCAGUUUGUCUCUCUGUCUCUCACACUCCUCUCUCUCUUUCAGUUUGUCUCUCUGUCUCUCUCUCUUUUCAGUUUGUCUCUCACACUCCUCUCUCUCUCUUUUCAGUUUGACUCGCUGUCUCUCUCUCUUUUCAGUUUGUCUCUCACACUCCUCUCUCUCUUUCAGUUUGUCUCUCUGUCUCUCUCGUCUCUCUCGCUCCUCUCUCUCUUUUCAGUUUGUCUCUCUGUAUCUCUCGUCUCUCUCGCUCCUCUCUCUCUUUUCAGUUUGUCUCUCUGUCUCUCUUGUCUCUCUCGCUCCUCUCUCUCUUUUCAGUUUGUCUUUCUGUCUCUCUCGUCUCUCUCGCUCCUCUCUCUCUUUUCAGUUUGUCUCUCUGUCUCUCUCGUCUCUCUCGCUCCUCUCUCUCUUUUCAGUUUGUCUCUCUCGUCUCUCUCGCUCCUCUCUCUCUUUUCAGUUUGUCUCUCUGUCUCUCUCGUCUCUCUCGCUCCUCUCUCUCUUUUCAGUUUGUCUCUCUGUCUCUCUCGUCUCUCUCGCUCCUCUCUCUCUUUUCAGUUUGUCUUUCUGUCUCUCUCGUCUCUCUCGCUCCUCUCUCUCUUUUCAGUUUGUCUUUCUGUCUCUCUCGUCUCUCUCGCUCCUCUCUCUCUUUUCAGUUUGUCUUUCUGUCUCUCUCGUCUCUCUCGCUCCUCUCUCUCUUUUCAGUUUGUCUUUCUGUCUCUCUCGUCUCUCUCGCUCCUCUCUCUCUUUUCAGUUUGUCUUUCUGUCUCUCUCGUCUCUCUCGCUCCUCUCUCUCUUUUCAGUUUGUCUUUCUGUCUCUCUCGUCUCUCUCGCUCCUCUCUCUCUUUUCAGUUUGUCUCUCUGUCUCUCUCGUCUCUCUCGCUCCUCUCUCUCUUUUCAGUUUGUCUCUCUGUCUCUCUCGUCUCUCUCGCUCCUCUCUCUCUUUUCAGUUUGUCUCUCUGUCUCUCUCGUCUCUCUCGCUCCUCUCUCUCUUUUCAGUUUGUCUCUCUUUCUCUCUCGCUCCUCUCUCUCUCCUCUCUCUCUUUUCAGUUUGUCUCUCUGUCUCACACUCCUCUCUCUCUUUUCAGUUUGUCUAUCUGUCUCUCUCUUUUCAGUUUGUGUCUCUGUCUCUCUCUUUUCAGUUUGUCUCUCUGUCUCUCUCUCUUUUCAAUUUGUCUCUCUGUCUCUCUCUCUUUUCAGUUUGUGUCUCUGUCUCUCUCUUUUCAGUUUGUCUCUCUGUCUCUCUCUUUUCAAUUUGUCUCUCUGUCUCUCUCUCUUUUCAGUUUGUCUCUCUGUCUCUCACACUCCUCUCUCUCUUUCAGUUUGUCUCUCUGUCUCUCUCUCUUUUCAGUUUGUCUCUCACACUCCUCUCUCUCUCUUUUCAGUUUGA